ensembl:lncRNA
CUGCCCACCUGGUUUCAAAUUUCACUUCUGUCAUUUGCCAAAUGUGCGACCCCAGUCAGGUUAUUUAACUCAGUUUCCCAAUCUCUAAAACAGGAUGGUUGGUAAUAGUACCUACUUCAGAGGGUUAUUGUGAAGAUAAAAUGAAGGAUCAUGGAUGAAGCUGCUAUAAGUUGAGGUCAACUACAAGGUUAGAGGGCACAGCCUGCACACGAGACCGCCCUUGCUUCUGACACCACCUGCAAGUUCCGGAGGUGCCCCAAACUGCCUUCAGGAGAUGGAAAAUGCAGAGAAGGCAGAGUCUGAAAUUCUGGAGCUGCAGUUGAAUAACCAGAAGACCCUAGCCAAGUCACUUCACCUCUCUGAGCCUCAGUUUCCUCAUCUGUAAAAUGGGCGUGAGGUUCUCUUACAGGGAGCACAGCCAGAGGCAAGAGAGCAUCUCUUCCCACCAGCCCCGAGGCUUGAGGCAACAGCCACUUCACCUCUCUGAGCCGUGGUUUCCCUGUCUGCCAAAUGGAGAAACGCAGCGCUGGGUGAUAUCAAUUGUUUCUGCCUGCCCUGCGUCCCUUCCAUCUUCUUUUGAAAACAGCACCCAGUUUUCUUUAGGGGAACAUUCCUCUCCCACUCUCAGUUCACCUGGGCACACGGUCUGGGACUGGUCAGUCAGAAUCAGGACAUUCCAUCCUCCUGGUCACAGCAUUUGGUUCAGGAAUGGGCACACGAGCUAAGCCAGAGCAAUCAGAAGUGUCCAGGAGAGAGGCAUGCUCUUUUCCUAUGGGAUUGGGGCACCAGGACGCUGUAAGCCUGGAGCUGCCCCUCCACCUGCCUCAGAGUGAAGCCAGCAAGAGGAAAAAACAUCAGAGAGAGAGAGAACUUGACACCUGGAUGCUGCCAUACCUGUUCCCAGUUUUCAGCUUGGCAGCCAACACUUCGCCUUCUUUUGCCAAAAUCAGUUGGAAUUGGUUGUCUGUCAUUUGUAAUGGAAGUAAUCCUAAUUUAUUCAGGGGUUAAAAACACCUACGUUAAAAGAUUGCUGUAUGGAUCAAAAGAGAAGAUGAUGUAAGGGAAAAUGUUUUUCUAAACUGUAUGUGGCUGAAUGACGGUGAGUUAUUAAUCAGACCCUAAAGCAGGAACACACAUUCCACGAGUGAUGAGUCAGUCCAGUUCUAUCUGAGAGGCUCGAGAAAGCAGACUUUGAAGGUGCUUGCCUGAGCACUGAAGAGCUGUUUGGAAAUGCGAAUUCUUGCCCCCUAAAUUUUCAGUUCACUGGGUGCAUGUUUUCGAAGGAGGAGAUGUCCUUGCGUUGGGGCACAACUCUUUCCUAUGUGACUUGUUCCAAGGUUGGUCAUUUUACAAGAGGCCAUGGGACACAGAGGAAAGAUCCUGGCCUGUUUGGGCAAGUCUCUGCCUCACUCUGAGUCUGUCACCUGAGGGACUGGAUUGGACCUUCCAGUAGGGAGCUCCCAGCUCUGACCCGCUGUGGUCUUGAAAUUCUCAGACCCUAUCCUGGGACAAGGAAAGUCUGCUCACCUCUGGAGUCUGUAGCAUAUACUUGUUCCUGGAUUCUCCUGAGAAGCCACACAUCAAAACCACAGCCCACACCACAAAGAGACUCUGCGGAGUCUGGCAGACAAUGGAGGUCGGCUGGCCCAAUCUCCAUUUCCAGUUCCCUGUUCUUUUCUGCUUAAUCCCAAACUCAAUCUCCCAAUCUGCUUUGUAGCCAAGCGAGGUCACGUGACACAGUGCUGGUGAAAGAGAUGUAGUGGAACUCUGCUGAGGCUGCCUCUUCGCUUCCUAUCCUUUUCCUGCCUGAAACAAUGGCCCGAGGAUGCCGCACAUCUGAGGGUGAUCGAGCAGAAAGAUGGAGAGAGCCUGGUCUCCUGAUGGCAUUGUUGAGCAGCCGCAGAGGCCUGGGCUGCUGACCUCUGGACUUGUCAUUUGAGAAGAAUUCCCCCUCAUUUUCUUGCAUUUAGGCUUCCAUGUUUGGGACUUGAUAUAUGGAGCCAACUGCAUUCCUGGUGCACUAGGCUAGCAUUUGUCUGCAACCAUUCUCUUUUGGUGUCUAGUACAAGUGUUUUCACCUCUAGGACCACACUGAC